AACGAACGCUGGCGGCAUGCCUAACACAUGCAAGUCGAACGAAGGCUUCGGCCUUAGUGGCGCACGGGUGCGUAACGCGUGGGAAUCUGCCCUUGGGUUCGGAAUAACGUCGGGAAACUGACGCUAAUACCGGAUGAUGACGUAAGUCCAAAGAUUUAUCGCCCAAGGAUGAGCCCGCGUCGGAUUAGCUAGUUGGUGAGGUAAAAGCUCACCAAGGCGACGAUCCGUAGCUGGUCUGAGAGGAUGAUCAGCCACACUGGGACUGAGACACGGCCCAGACUCCUACGGGAAGCAGCAGUGGGGAAUAUUGGACAAUGGGCGAAAGCCUGAUCCAGCAAUGCCGCGUGAGUGAUGAAGGCCUUAGGGUUGUAAAGCUCUUUUACCCGGGAUGAUAAUGACCGUACCGGGAGAAUAAGCUCCGGCUAACUCCGUG
rnacentral:rRNA from 1 species